GUCCAUGGACGCCAGGCACAGAACCUCCCCUCAUUCAUCUGUUUACUUUCUAAAUAUGCCUCUGUUUGGACUUGCAUCAGUGGGGAGACAAUAUCUAAGAAAACGAGGAAGGAAAUCUGUGGAAAACAAAGGAAAGGGAAAGAAACCCUGUGUGAUAGAGACUGCCCCUCGCUGUUCCUGAUUACGGCAGAUUUUCACAACGCUUGGCGCCAUCAAAAUCAGCCAUCCAGCCAGCCGGGCAGGCAGACUGGGAGAGGAGGACUGGUCGUGAUCCUAGAAAAUAACAACGCAUGUCAGAGAAUGGCAACAGAGAGGACCUGCUCUCUUUCCUCAAAACAAGAAAUAUACCUGAUAGUGUCAUCGACCAACUAAAAGAAGAUAAGUAACUCUAUCUAAUCUCCAGUGAAAAGAACAAGAAUGCCGUAAAAACAACACGACUAGCUGGAGACUGAGGCAAGAGUGAAGAGAAAAUCUGCCCUAAAGAUUUGAAACAGGAAGAGCGUGGCGUCAGUACAGGCGGGAGAUAAGAGCGCUGCGCUCCAUACACAAACACAGGGUUUCUGUGGCUGAGUGACUCCCCACUCUCUCGGCGCCCUCACAGUAGCUGUCUUCUCUCCCUGACCGGCUCCGGACCACAGGCCACCACCCACCCCUGCACAAAGCAGAUCCAGGGGCCUGAUACACCCUGACUGACUCCAGGGGUCUUAAGGGGAUUUGUGCAAGUCCAGGGAAUGGAUGGCCUCAAACAGGAAACCCUGGGAAAAAAUGAGGGUACUUU